GUGGUCUUCCAGAGGACAAGUCUUUCUUCCCUUCCUACCUUUUCACUAAAAGGAGGGAGGAGAGCUGAAAGCACGCAUUGUCACGAUGCUCAUUACAGAACAGAGUCAUGUACUACCAAGACACUUACGGCAACAUGUUCCCACCAUAACUAGAAACAAAUCCACCCUGUUGAAAGGCUAAAACCCAACCAAACCACAAGAACAUGGACACAAAAAGAAGCCUGAUUAAUGGAGAUUACAGAAUAGGUCUCCCAUCCAUGUGUAGGAACUAACUCCUUGGGAAAAAGGAACGUCCUUCAUCUGCAUCCCACGUCCGGAGCCGAGCGUGCUGCGAGCAUUUAGAAACGAAACGGCAGCAAACGCAGAAAGGGUGAAGAACACUCCUGUCUGCACAGGAGCUGGAGGCUCAAAGACAAAGCAUUGUCCUUUCUCACCCUUCAUGGUGAUCCUUUCCCAGGUUGAAGCAGAAAUAAUACAUUAAAGAGGCGAGAUACCCAGAUUCUCCCUAAUGGAAGCUGUAGAAAUAACCACAGGCAGGAGCUAAAAUCUGAUGUUGGCAUCUCUAAGCAGCUUGUGUUGCUUUUGGUGAGCGUUUGAAUCACAGUGGGAAUAGAAAGCAGCUGUUACUCAAUCACUGCACAGAAACACACAAGUGGCAGCUGAAGUCAGCUCCAUCAGAGCAAAACACCUUCAAUUUCUGAUCAAAGCCCUGGAGCCCGGACACUGGGGUAAGAACCAAAUCAAAGGAAGAUGUUUUCUGCUCCCGGGUGUGCGUCUCAGUUACCUGCCGUGAAUUAUUCACCACUUGGAAGGAUGCUCUGAUGGGUUCUUUGCAGGUAGGAACAGAGACAGAGCCCCCAGAGCUCCAGCCAGCUGCUGCCUCUCUGCUUGGAGAGGAACCAUCCUGGAGCCCUGUCCUGGCUGGGCUCCAUCCCAGGCAGGACACUGCCCACACCGCAGGGACCUGUUGCUUCCCCAUUUUCCUCCCCCCUCACUGGUUCAUCAGGACUCAGCUUCCUGGAAAUCAACCUUCAAAACUGGACUUUGGGGCCUGUUGAUGGUGUACAGAAAUUAAUGCUUUUCAUGUCUUCCCUGGUGGUUUGGGGUGGUUUGGUUUCUCAGGGGCCUCUGGCCUUUUCUGGCUGGGACAGGCCUUAUGUUGAUGAAGGAGAGGUCCCUGUUGGUCUCUCCUGUGACUGGGACAGUGGCAGGGCUAAGCAGGUGCCCCUUUACUCCACCUCUGCUCCUGUGGACCUGGAGGGGAUGCUCUUGGGGCGGCAUGUUGUAGGGUAGAUGGGCUAAAGGGCUGGAAAAGGGCUGGGUUUAGGGCACAGGGGAGGUGAAGAGCAUCCCAAGAAGAGGGGAGAAGAACAAUUGGAUGCAACUUGUCCCUCUUGCUCUCUUUGCUCCAUCAGCAAGAUGUGGCCAGAUCUCACCCCAGCUCCUGCUCCCACAUGGGGGUAGGCAAAGACCCUCACUGUUUCCUCACACCUAAUGGUCAUAAACCUGCCCUUUUCCCCUCUCUGUGGGAGCAUCCUGCCGUCUCAGGUGGAGACCAAGAAGUCUCUUCCAUCUACCUCUUCAAUGAGCAGCAAAAGCAAAGCAGAGAUACCAUGUGAGGGAAGAAGGAUGGAAUUUAAUGAG